UACGUAGGGGGCUAGCGUUGUCCGGAAUCAUUGGGCGUAAAGAGCGUGUAGGCGGUCCGGUAAGUCCGCUGUGAAAGUCGGGGGCUCAACCCUCGAAUGCCGGUGGAUACUGUCGGGCUAGAGUGCGGAAGAGGCGAGUGGAAUUCCUGGUGUAGCGGUGAAAUGCGCAGAUAUCAGGAGGAACACCUAUGGCGAAGGCAGCUCUCUGGGACGGUACUGACGCUGAGACGCGAAAGCGUGGGGAGCAAACAGG
rnacentral:rRNA from 1 species